rnacentral:rRNA from 1 species
CCUGAACGCUGGCGGCGUGGCUAAGACAUGCAAGUCGUACGGGGCCGCAAGGCCCAGUGGCGAACGGGUGAGUAAUGAAUCGCUAAUGUGCCCCGGACGUCAGGAGUAGCCGCUCGAAAGGGACGGGUAAGUACCUGAUGACAUAACCCUCGUCGCAUGGCGAGGGUUCGUCAAAGGUCCGCCGGUCUGGAGCAGGCGAUUUCGUAUCAGCUAGUUGGUGAGGUAACGGCUCACCAAGGCGACGACGCGUAGCCGGACUGAGAGGUUGGCCGGCCACAUUGGGAC